rnacentral:ncRNA from 1 species
UGUCUUCAGGGCCGGGUGCAAUUCCCGACCGGCGGUGACAGUCCGCGAACCCGGAGUUUUUCCGGGCCGAACCGGUGAAAGUCCGGUACCGACAGUAAAGUCUGGAUGGAAGAAGAU